GGGCGGUUAGCUCAGUUGGCUAGAGCGUCGCGUUUACACCGCGGAGGUCGUAGGUUCAAAUCCUACACCGCCCA
rnacentral:tRNA from 1 species